UACUCUGAAAAGUUUUCAAGAUGGCGGAGGUCUGAAGCGAAGCGAAGUGAAGAAAAGCAAAGCAAGAAGAUAUCUUGAAGUGGGAUGGGAGCAUUAAAGACAGUUAUCGCCAAGCUCCGAGACAUGGAAUCUAAAGAACCAGUUUAUCAGGAACCGCAAGCCUCUCUAUUGGAACAUACACCAGGGACCAUUCCAGGAGGAGGAGUUGAUCCAUUAAGGGCUUUUGGACGUGAUUUUGAGACUGAGGCUGAAGCACUAUAUUGUUUAAAAUUUUCACUGUACAAGUUGUACAAUAAGCACUAAAAACAUGUUCAAAUGCAGAAGCAUGUAAAGUUUUGUGCAGGUGGUUAUAAAUAA